AACGUUCUUCAUAAUGUACGUCCUAUAGAAGAUUUUCUUUUGACUGAGGGGUUUGAUGUGUCGUUGUCUGGUCGUGCCUGAUUGGUUUCUAUACUGACAUUUGUGGAUGUGUCUUGCGUAGAGAACUUAACAGCAACGAUUGCUCAUUUGGGUUUUCGGACUCAGAUUGUUCAUUUUCUUUCUCAGAAAAUCGUUGUCUUGGUAGAUUAAAGUCAUCUCCGAAUCGUUAGAAAUGAAAUGAGUAAUUUGGAGCAAAAUUCACCCAGCCAUUGUACCCAUCAUGCUCGCUCUGCAAUCUUCAGAAACGUUGUGAAUAUCAGUGGGACUAGUGUAGAAGAUUCUGCCAGAACGUGACAUCAUGCAGCUGAGGAAAAUAUAUCUGUUUUAAAGAGGAAUGAUUUGUCAAUCACUUUGAAAAUACAAGUUCUUAUUAAACGUCUUGUAAAAUUGUCGUGUUGCUUACAAAGGCCAAGAGAGUUGAUAUAAUACGGGCAUAUUCAACUAAUUCAAGUUACAUCAUCGAUGUGAGGUUCUCUAAGUGAUCACGUCUUUAAUAAGGCAUGAGCGUACAUACACAAAAAGAAAAACACAUGUUGUAGACAAGUGAAAAAUUAAUCAUUUUAAGAAAUAUACAACAAAUGAAAUUACUUCAACUAAUAUCAUUAUAACUUAUAUAUUUGUAAAUGCCACGUUUGCGUCUAUUACAGUUCCUUUAAAAAUAAAGCAUGAAUUAAUUAUCAA